rnacentral:tRNA from 1 species
GUCGUGGCUGAAUGGGCACGAUGUUCGCUUUGUAAGCGAAUGAUUCUGGGUUCAAUUCCCGGGCAGACA